rnacentral:rRNA from 1 species
GUGGUUUAAUUCGACGCAACGCGAAGAACCUUACCAGGCUUGACAUCCCCUGACCGCGUAUGAAAGUACGUUUUCACCUUCGGGAGACAGGGAGACAGGUGGUGCAUGGUUGUCGUCAGCUCGUGUCGUGAGAUGUUGGGUUAAGUCCCGCAACGAGCGCAAACCCCUACGUUUAGUUGCUAACGCGUGAAGGCGAGCACUCUAGACGAACUGCCGUUGACAAAACGGAGGAAGGUGGGAUGACGUCAAAUCAUCAUGCCCCUUAUGUUCUGGGCUACACACGUGCUACAAUGGCCGGUACAGACGGACGCAAAGCCGCGAGGUGGAGCAAAUCCGAAAAAGCCGGUCUCAGUUCGGAUUGCAGGCUGCAAUUCGCCUGCAUGAAGUCGGAAUCGCUAGUAAUCGCAGGUCAGCAUACUGCGGUCGAAUACGUUCCCGGGCCUU